rnacentral:rRNA from 1 species
GAUGAACGCUGGCGGCGUGCCUAACACAUGCAAGUCGAGCGAAAAGACCAGGCGCUUGUUCGUCUGACGUUUGCGGCGGACGGGUGAGUCACAUGUGUAUCCCCUCCCUAUCAGACUGGGAUAAUCACGGGACACCGGAGCUAAUCCCGGAUAAUAUCUUGCACCGCAUGGUUCAAUAGUGAAAGUCGGUUUUGCUGUCUCUUAUAGAUGGAUCCGCGCCGCAUUCGCUAGUUGGUAAGGUAACGGCUUAUCAAGGCAACGAGGCGUAGCCGACGUGAGAGAGUGAUCGCCCACACGGGAAGUGAGCCGGGGUCAAUACUCCUACGGUAGGCAGCAGUAUGGAAUCUUCCGCAACGGUCGAGAGCCUGACAGAGCGACGCGGCGUGAGAGAUGAAAGUCUUCCGAUCGUAAAGCCCUGUUAGUAGGUGAGAACAAAUGUGGAAGUAACUGUGCACUUCUUGACGGUACCGGGUCAGAAAGCCACGGCUAACUACGUG